rnacentral:rRNA from 2 species
GGGUUGUGAGGUUAAGCGACUAAGCGUACACGGUGGAUGCCCUGGCAGUCAGAGGCGAUGAAGGACGUGCUAAUCUGCGAUAAGCGUCGGUAAGGUGAUAUGAACCGUUAUAACCGGCGAUUUCCGAAUGGGGAAACCUAGUGUGAUUCGUCACACUAUCAUUAACUGAAUCCAUAGGUUAAUGAGGCGAACCGGGGGAACUGAAACAUCUAAGUACCCCGAGGAAAAGAAAUCAACCGAGAUUCCCCCAGUAGCGGCGAGCGAACGGGGAGCAGCCCAGAGCCUGAAUCAGUGUGUGUGUUAGUGGAAGCGUCUGGAAAGGCGCGCGAUACAGGGUGACAGCCCCGUACACAAAAAUGCACAUACUGUGAGCUCGAUGAGUAGGGCGGGACACGUGGUAUCCUGUCUGAAUAUGGGGGGACCAUCCUCCAAGGCUAAAUACUCCUGACUGACCGAUAGUGAACCAGUACCGUGAGGGAAAGGCGAAAAGAACCCCGGCGAGGGGAGUGAAAAAGAACCUGAAACCGUGUACGUACAAGCAGUGGGAGCCUCUUUUAUGGGGUGACUGCGUACCUUUUGUAUAAUGGGUCAGCGACUUAUAUUCUGUAGCAAGGUUAACCGAAUAGGGGAGCCGAAGGGAAACCGAGUCUUAACCGGGCGUUAAGUUGCAGGGUAUAGACCCGAAACCCGGUGAUCUAGCCAUGGGCAGGUUGAAGGUUGGGUAACACUAACUGGAGGACCGAACCGACUAAUGUUGAAAAAUUAGCGGAUGACUUGUGGCUGGGGGUGAAAGGCCAAUCAAACCGGGAGAUAGCUGGUUCUCCCCGAAAGCUAUUUAGGUAGCGCCUCGUGAAUUCAUCUCCGGGGGUAGAGCACUGUUUCGGCAAGGGGGUCAUCCCGACUUACCAACCCGAUGCAAACUGCGAAUACCGGAGAAUGUUAUCACGGGAGACACACGGCGGGUGCUAACGUCCGUCGUGAAGAGGGAAACAACCCAGACCGCCAGCUAAGGUCCCAAAGUCAUGGUUAAGUGGGAAACGAUGUGGGAAGGCCCAGACAGCCAGGAUGUUGGCUUAGAAGCAGCCAUCAUUUAAAGAAAGCGUAAUAGCUCACUGGUCGAGUCGGCCUGCGCGGAAGAUGUAACGGGGCUAAACCAUGCACCGAAGCUGCGGCAGCGACACUGUGUGUUGUUGGGUAGGGGAGCGUUCUGUAAGCCUGUGAAGGUGUGCUGUGAGGUAUGCUGGAGGUAUCAGAAGUGCGAAUGCUGACAUAAGUAACGAUAAAGCGGGUGAAAAGCCCGCUCGCCGGAAGACCAAGGGUUCCUGUCCAACGUUAAUCGGGGCAGGGUGAGUCGACCCCUAAGGCGAGGCCGAAAGGCGUAGUCGAUGGGAAACAGGUUAAUAUUCCUGUACUUGGUGUUACUGCGAAGGGGGGACGGAGAAGGCUAUGUUGGCCGGGCGACGGUUGUCCCGGUUUAAGCGUGUAGGCUGGUUUUCCAGGCAAAUCCGGAAAAUCAAGGCUGAGGCGUGAUGACGAGGCACUACGGUGCUGAAGCAACAAAUGCCCUGCUUCCAGGAAAAGCCUCUAAGCAUCAGGUAACAUCAAAUCGUACCCCAAACCGACACAGGUGGUCAGGUAGAGAAUACCAAGGCGCUUGAGAGAACUCGGGUGAAGGAACUAGGCAAAAUGGUGCCGUAACUUCGGGAGAAGGCACGCUGAUAUGUAGGUGAAGUCCCUCGCGGAUGGAGCUGAAAUCAGUCGAAGAUACCAGCUGGCUGCAACUGUUUAUUAAAAACACAGCACUGUGCAAACACGAAAGUGGACGUAUACGGUGUGACGCCUGCCCGGUGCCGGAAGGUUAAUUGAUGGGGUCAGCGCAAGCGAAGCUCUUGAUCGAAGCCCCGGUAAACGGCGGCCGUAACUAUAACGGUCCUAAGGUAGCGAAAUUCCUUGUCGGGUAAGUUCCGACCUGCACGAAUGGCGUAAUGAUGGCCAGGCUGUCUCCACCCGAGACUCAGUGAAAUUGAACUCGCUGUGAAGAUGCAGUGUACCCGCGGCAAGACGGAAAGACCCCGUGAACCUUUACUAUAGCUUGACACUGAACAUUGAGCCUUGAUGUGUAGGAUAGGUGGGAGGCUUUGAAGUGUGGACGCCAGUCUGCAUGGAGCCGACCUUGAAAUACCACCCUUUAAUGUUUGAUGUUCUAACGUGGACCCGUGAUCCGGGUUGCGGACAGUGUCUGGUGGGUAGUUUGACUGGGGCGGUCUCCUCCUAAAGAGUAACGGAGGAGCACGAAGGUUGGCUAAUCCUGGUCGGACAUCAGGAGGUUAGUGCAAUGGCAUAAGCCAGCUUGACUGCGAGCGUGACGGCGCGAGCAGGUGCGAAAGCAGGUCAUAGUGAUCCGGUGGUUCUGAAUGGAAGGGCCAUCGCUCAACGGAUAAAAGGUACUCCGGGGAUAACAGGCUGAUACCGCCCAAGAGUUCAUAUCGACGGCGGUGUUUGGCACCUCGAUGUCGGCUCAUCACAUCCUGGGGCUGAAGUAGGUCCCAAGGGUAUGGCUGUUCGCCAUUUAAAGUGGUACGCGAGCUGGGUUUAGAACGUCGUGAGACAGUUCGGUCCCUAUCUGCCGUGGGCGCUGGAGAACUGAGGGGGGCUGCUCCUAGUACGAGAGGACCGGAGUGGACGCAUCACUGGUGUUCGGGUUGUCAUGCCAAUGGCACUGCCCGGUAGCUAAAUGCGGAAGAGAUAAGUGCUGAAAGCAUCUAAGCACGAAACUUGCCCCGAGAUGAGUUCUCCCUGACCCUUUAAGGGUCCUGAAGGAACGUUGAAGACGACGACGUUGAUAGGCCGGGUGUGUAAGCGCAGCGAUGCGUUGAGCUAACCGGUACUAAUGAACCGUGAGGCUUAACCUUACAACGCCGAAGGUGUUU